ACAAAGGCAAAAAUUGUUGAUUUAGAAUAACAGUUACCAUAGUUACCACUGUUAUUUUGUUGGUAAAUAAAAAUAGUCUUAAAAGGAAUCAAAGCGUGACUGUGUUUACUAGAAAAAUGACUUCGUCAGAAAAGUUUCAGGAUGCCCGUUGCAAAGCCGAGCAACAAGUAUCUGCCAAGCUGAGCUGCAAGUUCCUAGUAUUAUUACAAGAAAUUGAGCUUUGUUUACGAUGUGGAACUAUUAACUUAUGGGGUAGUUCAUGAGCGCCUCGUUUGGAAACAGGACCAUACGACAGCUUGCGGUCAGAAAGAAGGAAACAGUGAUCAGGAUCGCAUUCAGAUGGAGCGGAAUUAGGACUUUUUGAUAGAUAGUAAAAUUAUGUACAUAAGGUAAGGUAGUAAGGUAGUAAAAUGUUCCAGAAAGCGAACUGGAAAUGCCAGCACCAAUUCAGCAGCAUUCAAGAACUGAUAAUGAUUUUAGGCAAAUGGCAUCGAGUCGGAUUCGGAUCUCGUCGGAGCGGUAGGAAAUUAUUCAUGUGAUCAAUGUUGUAUAAAAACUACAAGGAUCAGCCCCAUGGGGUUGUUCGAGCCGUUGAUGUGGAACAAGGCAACCAAUGAUUGACAUUUUCAAUUAAUCGUCACACUUUUGAAUCCGCAAAUGCACAAGAGUCUGCUUAUAUUGAUCCUUCUCAACACCGAACACGCGAACCCAGAAUAUAGAGUCUAUUUAGGGGCUCUCCAUAAAAGACGUCACGCCUCAAGGGGGCGGGGGUGUUUCAUAAAAGGUGACCUUUUGUGACAGGGGGAAGGGGGGGAGGUUUUUGGAAUGUGACGUCUAAUAUUUUAAAUGAGCGCAUUUUUGAAAUACCUAAUUAUAUUACUGCUUUGCCCUAUUUUCUGAAAAAAUCUCCACAAUAGACGUUUACAUUCUAUAGGAAAACGUGUAUUUGUUGAUGUUAAAGCUUCUUAUUGUAAAUUCGGAAAUGAAUGAUGCAUGAAAUCAUUUCUGUUGUGGGCAGCAAAAGUGCACGGAGGAGCGAGUAAAUUAGCAAAAUUAAUAAAUUUUGCCUAAUAUGAGUGAAAAAGAAAUAUAUGCCUUCGAACGGUUUUAUUAAGUUAUGCACUGACAAUGUUUUCAGUAAUUUGAUUUUCUAGCAUUGAUAAUACAGGGUGAUUUUUUAAGAGCUUGAGAACUUUUUUAAACAAUAAAACGCAUAAAAUUUGCAAAAUCUCAUCGGUUCUUUAUUUUAAACGUUAGAUUGGUACAUGACAUUUACUUUUUGAAGAUAAUUUCAUUUAAAUGUUGACCGCGGCUGCGUCUUAGGUGGUCCAUUCGGAAAGUCCAAUUUUGGGCAACUUUUUCGAGCAUUUCGGCCGGAAUAGCCCGAAUUUCUUCGGAAAUGUUGUCUUCCAAAGCUGGAAUAGUUACUGGCUUAUUUCUGUAGACUUUAGACUUGACGUAGCCCCACAAAAAAUAGUCUAAAGGCGUCAAAUCGCAUGAUCUUGGUGGCCAACUUACCGGUCCAUUUCUUGAGAUGAAUUGUUCUCCGAAGUUUUCCCUCAAAAUGGCCAUAGAAUCGCGAGCUGUGUGGCAUGUAGCGCCAUCUUGUUGAAACCACAUGUCAACCAAGUUCAGUUCUUCCAUUUUUGGCAACAAAAAGUUUGUUAGCAUCGAACGAUAGCGAUCGCCAUUCACUGUAACGUUGCGUCCAACAGCAUCUUUGAAAAAAUACGGUCCAAUG